rnacentral:rRNA from 1 species
ACGAAAUAGUGAUAUGGAGCGAAACCCGAAAAGCACCCCCACGUUCGGAUUGUAGGCUGAAAUUCGCCUACAUGAAGCCGGAAUUGCUAGUAAUGGCAGGUCAGCAUACUGCCGUGAAUACGUUCCCGGGCCUUGUACACACCGCCCGUCACACCAUGAGAGUUGGGGAUACCCGAAGCCUGUGAGCCAACUAUAUAGAGGCAGCAGUCGAAGGUAGAAUCAAUGAUUGGGGUGAAGUCGUAACAAGGUACC